AACAACGUUCAUAUCACGUUGAAUACACCAGUUCUCGUCCGAUCACUGAAGUUAAGCAACGUUGAGCGUAGACAAUACUUGGAUGGGUGACCGCUUGGGAACACCACGUAACGUUGGUA
rnacentral:rRNA from 1 species